rnacentral:misc_RNA from 1 species
CAGCAGGUUGAGAAGUUGAGGGAAAUGAGCCCACUUUAUGAGAUGGUGAAGGAAGGGAUUGAUAUUAAGCAGAUUCAAUGGGCACAACACUGACAGGUUGGUAUAGGAUAAAACAGCUAUGGAUAUUGAGUACGCGACACAGUUUUAGGAAUGGAUUGCAUGCUCAAUGAGGAUACCUCCAUUGAGCUGGAGCUGCCAAAGUGCAUUGCUUAAGGGUUGUUAUACAGGUUCUUACUUUCUGCUGUCCUUGUAUAUGCCCUUGCGAAGUUUCCUAGUUUAACUAGGGUAGAAUUUUGGCUCUAGAUGUUUUCUUAAACUAUAUGAAAGUUGUCUUCCUCUAGGUAUAAGCAUACCAUAAUUUGGCAACAGAAAUAAUAAGGUUUGCUUAUAGUGCAUAUGUAAAAGUUAUUUUCUGUUGUGUCUGUAACUUAU